rnacentral:rRNA from 1 species
ACGCUCGACACCUACGGGAGGCNGCAGUGGGGAAUAUUGCACAAUGGGGGAAACCCUGAUGCAGCGACGCCGCGUGAGUGAAGAAGUAUUUCGGUAUGUAAAGCUCUAUCAGCAGGGAAGAAAAUGACGGUACCUGAGUAAGAAGCCCCGGCUAACUACGUGCCAACAGCCGCGGUAAUCUGAGCGGGCUGGCAAGGC